GAUCGGUAGAGUUAGAAUGGUUAGAGAUAGGAUGAUAGUGGAGGAGAAUAGAUUUAUUACUUUUAUUUGGAGUUGCACCAAUUUUUUGGUUCCUAAGACCAAUGGAUAACUACCAUCCUUUAAAAGUGCGGAAGAGCCGUGCUGUUAGGUACGGGAGCAUAGAGUUAGCAGUUCUUGCAUACUUUUCCGGUAAGUAAGAAGGUUUAGUUUCUGUUGUUAGAUUCACAAUCUAAUGUUUUUGUUAAACUAUACUUACAGUAUGGAGUACCUAGGAUAAUUUUAGGGUUUAUGGAGAGGAGUAGGAGAGGGAGAAUGUGCAUGGUUAUGAGGGUAUUUUCUCGUGUAUAAGAAGGGAGGAUAUUGUUAACGUGGGGGGUGAGAUUGCCUCGUUGGGUUAUAAUGAGUAUAUAUAGAGAGUACAGGGCUGUAAUGGUGAUGUUUAAUCCUAGAAGGAUUAGAGAAAGAUUGGAUCAUGAAAAUAUUGAUAUUACUACGAAUAGUUCUCCGAUUAAGUUAAUGGUUGGCGGUAGAGCCAGGUUGGUAAGGCUUGCUAGUAGUCAUCAGGUUGCUAUAAGGGGAAGGAGUAUUUGUAGGCCUCGAGCUAGAAUUAUUGUUCGGCUGUGGAUUCGUUCGUAAUUUGAGUUGGCCAGACAGAAAAGUAUGGAGGAAGUUAGGCCAUGGGCGAUUAUUAAUGCUGUUGCUCCUAUAAAGCUUCAGGGAGUUUGGAUAAGAAUGGCCACGAUGACUAAGGCUAUGUGGCUUACUGAGGAGUAGGCAAUGAGAGAUUUAAGGUCUGUUUGACGUAAGCAGAUGGAGCUGGUUAUAAUUAUUCCUCAUAGGGAAAGUAUUAUGAAUGGGUAAGCUAUAAAUUCGGUGAGUGGGGUGAGUAAAAUCGUGAUGCGUAGUAUGCCGUAGCCUCCCAGUUUUAGAAGAAUUGCUGCAAGAACUAUUGAACCUGCGAUGGGAGCCUCUACGUGAGCUUUUGGUAGUCAAAGGUGGAGGCCAUAUAAUGGUAUUUUUACUAUGAAGGCUAGUAUGCAUGCUAGUCAUAGUAGGGGGGUGCUUCAGGAAGUAGGAAGGGGGUCUAGUCAUUGUUGUAUUAGGAGAAAGUUCAGUGAGCCUGUAGUGUUUUGUACGUAUACUAAGGCAAUUAGUAGGGGGAGUGAUCCUACUAAUGUAUAGAAUAGGAAGUAAAGGCCCGCAUUUAGACGUUCUGCUUGGUUUCCUCAUCGUGUAAUAAUAAUUAGGGUUGGGAGUAAGGUAGCUUCAAAUAGGAUGUAGAAUAUGAUAAGUUCUGUGGCGGUGAAAGUUAUAAUUAGAAAUGUUUGAAGUGAGAUUAAUAUAGUAAGAUAGAGUUUUUUUCGGGAUGGAGUUUCGUUAGAUAAGUGGAAUUGACUGGCGAUAAUUAUUAAGGGCAGUAGCCAUAUUGUUAGUAUAAGUAGUGGGGUGGAUAGAGCGUCGGAAAAGAAUAUUGUGGAUAAGUUGAGACUGUUGUCGGCGAAUUGAUUUAUGAGAGGAAAUCAUAGGAUGCUAAUUAUCAGACUGUGGGUUGUAGUAUUGAUUCAGAUUAUUUUUGGUUUGGAGAAUCAGGUAAGGGGGAUGAGCAUGAUAGUGGGUAGAAUGAUUUUUAACAUUUGAGAAGGUUAAGGUUUUGGACAUAAUCUGUUCCAUAAGUGGUAGAUACUAUAACUAAGAGGGAGAGACCUAGUGCUGCCUCGCAGGCCGCGAAGACUAGUAAGAUAAUAGGUAAUAUGGUUGCUAGUGUGAGGUGGGUGUUUAGGAUGGUGAUAGUCAUUAUUACAAAUAGGGAAAGUAUUAUUCCCUCUAGGCAUAGGAGGGAAGAUAUUAUAUGGGAUCGGUACAUUAGUAAACCUAAUAGGGAAAUGGUGAAUGCUAAAAGUAUAUUUAUGCAGGUGAGGGACAUUAGAUAACUAUGAGGUUUAUCAUAAUCUAGUGAGUCGAAAUCACUUGUUUUGUUUAAACUAAUUAUCAUUAUUCGGAUCAUUCUAGUCCUUCUUGUAAUCACUCAUAUGCUAGGCUAGCAGCUAAGAGGGAGAUUAGGAUUAGGGCUAUAGGAAGUAUGGUUUGUAAGUUGUCAGUUUGAGAUGCCCAUGGUAGGGGUAGAAGAAGGGCAAUUUCUAGGUCAAACAGCAGGAAUGUAAUUGCCACAAGGAAAAAUUUUAUUGAGAAAGGGAGGCGGGCAGAGCCUAGAGGAUCGAAACCGCAUUCGUAGGGGCUUGUUUUUUCUGCGUAAGAGUUGGUUUGGGGGAGUCAGAAUGCGAUAAUAACGAGAAUCGAGGCUAGGGUUGUGUUUGUUAGGAGGGUGAUGGCUAUGUUGAUUACUCUUUUCCGGAUUGUGCCGGAACUAACUGAUUGGAAGUCAGUUGUACUGGUUAAUACUAAAAGGGUAAGAGCCUCAUCAAUAGAUGGAUACGUAUAGGAAAAGUCAGACGACGUCUACAAAGUGUCAGUAUCAGGCGGCAGCCUCAAAUCCAAAGUGGUGAUUAGAUGUGAAGUGGAAUUUUAGUUGUCGCAGGAGACAUACGAUUAGGAAUGUAGAUCCAAUAAUGACAUGUAGGCCAUGAAAUCCAGUUGCCAUGAAGAAUGUGGAGCCGUAUACUCCGUCUGAGAUGGUGAAAGGUGUUUCGUAAUAUUCUGAUGCUUGUAGUAAGGUAAAAUAUAAGCCUAGGGCAAUAGUAAUAGAUAGUGCUUGAAUUAUAUGUUUGCGGUGUCCUUCUAUGAGGCUGUGGUGUGCUCAGGUAAUGGAAACUCCUGAAGCUAGUAGGACGGAUGUGUUAAGAAGGGGGACGUCCAGUGGAUUAAGGGGAGUAAUGCCUGCUGGAGGUCAAUAUCCUCCUAAUUCGGGGGUUGGGGCCAGGCUUGAAUGGUAAAAAGCUCAAAAGAAUCCUGAGAAGAAGAAGACUUCUGAGAUAAUAAAUAGGAUUAUUCCAUAACGAAGCCCUUUUUGUACGACUGGUGUGUGAUGUCCUUGGAACGUGCCUUCUCGGAUAAUAUCUCGUCAUCAUUGGUACAUGGUUAAGGUAUUGGAAUGCAACCCAAUAGUAAGCAGCG